UGCACCUUCGCCGGCGUCGGG
rnacentral:siRNA from 1 species